UACAGAGACUGCAAGCGUUAUUCGGAUUCACUGGGCGUAAAGGGUGCGCAGGCGGCCAGGUGUGUUAGGCGUGAAAGCCCGGGGCUCAACUCCGGAAUUGCCUUUAAGACUGCAUCGCUAGAAUUGUGGAGAGGUAAGUGGAAUUCCGAGUGUAGAGGUGAAAUUCGUAGAUAUUCGGAAGAACACCAGUGGCGAAGGCGACUUACUGGACACAUAUUGACGCUGAGGUGCGAAAGCGUGGGGAGCAAACAGG
rnacentral:rRNA from 1 species